AUUGAACGCUGGCGGCAUGCCUUACACAUGCAAGUCGAACGGCAGCGGGGGAGAAGCUUGCUUUUCCUGCCGGCGAGUGGCGAACGGGUGAGUAAUACAUCGGAACGUGCCCUGUAGUGGGGGAUAACUAGUCGAAAGAUUAGCUAAUACCGCAUACGACCUGAGGGUGAAAGUGGGGGACCGCAAGGCCUCAUGCUAUAGGAGCAGCCGAUGUCUGAUUAGCUAGUUGGUGGGGUAAAGGCCUACCAAGGCGACGAUCAGUAGCUGGUCUGAGAGGACGAUCAGCCACACUGGGACUGAGACACGGCCCAGACUCCUACGGGAGGCAGCAGUGGGGAAUUUUGGACAAUGGGCGAAAGCCUGAUCCAGCAAUGCCGCGUGUGUGAAGAAGGCCUUCAGGUUGUAAAGCACUUUUGUCCGGAAAGAAAUGGCUCUGGUUAAUACCUGGGGUCGAUGACGGUACCGGAAGAAUAAGGACCGGCUAACUACGUGCCAGCCGCCGCAGUAA
rnacentral:rRNA from 1 species